rnacentral:rRNA from 1 species
CAGGGAUUGCCCUAGUAACGGCGAGUGAAGCGGCAACAGCUCAAAUUUGAAAUCUGGCCCUUGGGUCCGAAUUGUAAUUUGUAGAGGAUGAUUUUGGUGCGGUACCUUCCGAGUUCCUUGGAACAGGACGCCUAAGAGGGUGAGAGCCCCGUACGGUUGGAUGCCUAGCCUCUGUAAAUCUCCUUCGACGAGUCGAGUAGUUUGGGAAUGCUGCUCUAAAUGGGAGGUAAAUUUCUUCUAAAGCUAAAUACUGGCCAGAGACCGAUAGCGCACAAGUAGAGUGAUCGAAAGAUGAAAAGCACUUUGAAAAGAGGGUUAAAUAGCACGUGAAAUUGUUGAAAGGGAAGGAUUUAUGACCAGACUUUUUCUGGGCGGAUCAUCCGGUGUUCUCACCGGUGCACUUUGCCCAGUUUAGGCCAGCAUCGAUUUUCGGAGGGGGAUAAAAGCUUUGGGAAUGUGGCUCCUUCUGGAGUGUUAUAGCCCAUUGUAUAAUACCUUUCUGGGGAUCGAGGUUCGCGCUUCUGCAAGGAUGCUGGCGUAAUGGUUAUCAAUCACCCGUCUUGAAACACGGACCAAGGAGUCGAACAUUUGUGCGAGUGUUUGGGUGUUAAACCCUCACGCGUAAUGAAAGUGAACGGAGGUGAGAGCCCUUACGGGUGCAUCAUCGACCGAUCCUGAAGUUUACGGAUGGAUUUGAGUAGGAGCAUAAAUGUUCGGACCCGAAAGAUGGUGAACUAUGCGUGGAUAGGGUGAAGCCAGAGGAAACUCUGGUGGAGGCUCGCAGCGGUUCUGACGUGCAAAUCGAUCGUCAAAUCUGCGCAUGGGGGCGAAAGA